rfam:Schistosoma haematobium scaffold283_29, whole genome shotgun sequence.
AUCCGGCCGAUGAGUCCCAAAUACGACGAAACGCGCAUCCCAGAU